CAACUGGGUGUUCUUUGUGGUUUGCAAACAGUGCAGAGGAGCAACAGUCAGUGUGACCCUACCCAAAUGGGAAAGAAUUCUGGGGCUUGGGGGAGUCACAGCUCCUGUCCUUGUAAGUAGAGAGUCAGGCAGGAGCAGAUACAAAUAUGAACUAGGAAGCUCUUCCAAAACUUUCCUUGUGUGCUUCUCUAGCUUAUCAGGAACACACAGCACUGUACUUCUCAGCAGAUUGGGCAGUGGGACCUGAGGACAGCACGAGCUGCAUGGUCUGCAUGAUUCUUGAUCCAAGGCAAAGGGACAGAGCUAGACAGCCCAAUACUGAUGACACAGACAGGUCCAAUCCUCCCUACCAAAGCUGAAGUGUGUCUGCUUUUUGAAAGAGAGCAGUUUUAAUGGUGGAGAAAAAAAGCUUCAGGACUGGCAGAUUUUUGGACAUAUCUGAAGGGAUUUUGGAAUUACACAGCUUCCUAUGUAAAGAUACAUAACAAUUCUCACAGUCAAGCUUGGUGUUCCUUAUGACAUUUUUUCAACAGGCUCCAUCCAGUUGCUGCUUUGAGAGUUGAUUGUUCUGAGAGGCAGCAGGGCUUGGACAAAGCUUCUAUCUCUGCAGACAUCGUGUGGAGUAAUUUUAGUUGGAACAUGAAUCCAUGACCCUCUGGACCUCAGGAUUGUCUCCAAGGUCUGAGUUCUCAUGGAUGUGGGAACAGGUUCCCUCUGCUUUGUUAAAGGAUGAUGUGUCCUUGUCCAUGAGUAUCUGACUAACUCCUGCCUAUCAUGACCCUCCCUGAAGAAUUAGUGUAUAUUUUGAAGGCUUAAGCGGUUUUGUUCUGCUCAUAAGGGGAUGUGCCCUUGCAAGACCUGGUCUGUCAGACAUUCCAGGUGUUGCUCAUUGAUUUCACCUCCCACUGGAGUAAAAAUUCUUCUAUCUUUGGUAAGGACAGCACUGCAUGUACUUAUGGGUGGCAUUGUAUGAGGUGGAAUUCUCUGUUCCAUGCUGAGAACCUCAGAAGAACUGGAUGCAGCCCGGCCCAUGAAGCAGUCUUGUUGAAGAGUCCUCCCAGUAAAGUAUCCUGGGGUAACUCAUGGACCCACAGAGUGCCUGUAGUUAAGCCGAAUUUUGCUCAGGUAUGUUAUUCAUUAAUACUAUUUCUCUACAAUGGACUAAAAACAUUUUAGCAAUAUUAAGGAUAAACAAGAAGCAUACUAUUUAUGUGAAGGGUUGCCAGCUGACUGUCAGAUGUUAUUGGAAUAACAUCUCCAGUACCAAAUUAUGACUUAAAAUAACAACAACAAUUCAAACACAGCUAAAAUAAACCCAUUGGACCCUAAACCAGCUAAAUUGUACUUAUUAAAACAUUUAUGAACACAUACUGCAUAUAAACGUGUUCCGUGAAUAGUUAUGAUCAGGAAGCAACUACAGAGGAAUUUGGAAAACUAGGUGUUGGCCUAUUUUCUUGGUUUUUCCCCUCUUACAUGUUUUUUCUACCUUGGGGUCCUAGGUCCCACAUGCUCAGCGCAAGACUUUGUACUGAGGACUAGAGUUGUAUUGCUCCAUCUUGGAUAUUCUCUGCAAUUAAGGAGGGGAAAGAACCCACAAAAACAUUGCUUUUCCCCAUAGCAAAGGAGGCUAUUAGUGUGCCAUGCUGCUUGAAAGAGCUCUAACAUUUUGAAACAGGUCAUAAUAAAGAAAACAAUAGCAUGGUGCAAGAGCACAAAUGUGUAAUGACUGUGUUCUCUCAAUCCUUCCUCAUACUCUCCCCCUCUGGCCCUGGAAUAGAGGACACAGGCCUAGUCCAUCCAGAGGUAAAGAGGUAUAACUUCCUGAACAGCAAUGUUUAGCUCCUAUGCAGGAGUAGCUUUCUGAAGCUGUCAAUAGAUAACCUGAAAAAGGAUCAUUAAUAUGUUUGGAUGUUUAGAAGGGACUAGGUGUUCUGUAGCCAUUUGUCUGAAUUUUAUGAUAGGGUAUCUGCACUCCAUAGAUGUCUUCUCUGAAGCUGAUUUUGAGACUUCUGAGAGUCAAUGAAGACAAUUUAGUCAAGAGGAAAAUGUUUCCUCUUCAGGAUGUAAACGAAAGAUGGAACUAUAUUCACCCCAUCAUUAAAGUGCUACCGUAGUGCUCAGCAAAGUUGCAACAAACACUCUUGCCAAAAUCACAACUUAGUGCCUCGAAUU